CCAGGUUUAAUGCAGGGGUGUUGUGGAUACACAGCCACUCACAGUUGCAACAACUGUGAUUCUCCUCCCCCUGUCUCACGUUCAGCCCUCUGCGUGCCUGGGCCGGCUUUCUCUCCUGAUUUAGAUUGUGCUCUGCACUCAGGGACGGGAGUACAGCUGAAGUAUGCUCCGGUCAGGCCAGCUCAAGCACUGAAAACGUUUGCCUCACGGUGGGACCCCAGAACAUGGACCCCCUGACAGAGUUCCCCUUUGUGGAGGAUGAGGGGCUCACCAUGAAGAAGACAGGGGUCUCCCUCUCUGUCUCCCUCUAAAGAGCCUCUCCAAGACCCUGACUCAGACGUGUACGCCAAGUUCUUCAUGAGUCACUGCUGCUACGAUGCCAUUCCAACAAGCUCCAAACUGGUCAUCUUUGACACAACACUGCAGGUGAAGAAAGCAUUCUUUGCAAUGGUUGCAAACGGGGUCAGAGCGGCACCUUUAUGGGACAACAAGCUGCAGUGUUUCGUAGGGAUGCUCACCAUUACAGACUUUAUCAACAUUCUCCAUCGUUACUACAAAUCACCCUUGGUUCAGAUUUAUGAGCUGGAGGAACACAAGAUUGAAACAUGGAGAGAGAUCUAUCUACAGUAUUCUCUCAACUCCCUGAUCAGCAUCACACCUGAAUCCAGCCUCUUCAAAGCCAUUUAUUCUUUACUGAAGAACAAGAUUCACCGGCUACCCGUCAUAGAUCCAGAAUCAGGGAACGUCCUCCACAUACUCACCCAUAAACGUAUCCUCAAGUUCUUACACAUCUUUGGCACUAUGAUCCCCAAGCCACGAUUUCUACAGAAGCGGAUUGAGGAAGUGGAAAUCGGAACAUUCAAGAGCAUCGCGACUAUCAGGGAGACAGAAACAGUUUAUGACGCUUUAUCAAUAUUUGUAGAGCGACGGGUCUCAGCCCUGCCCGUCAUCAACGAGCAAGGGAAAGUGGUGGCUCUUUACUCCAGAUUUGAUGUCAUUAAUUUGGCUGCACAGCAAAGCUACAACAACCUGAACAUGACGAUGCAGGAAGCCAUUCAGGGCCGCUGGUGCUGCAUUGAGGGGGUGCUGAAGUGUUACCCUCACGAGACCCUCGAAACCAUCAUUGAUCGCAUCGCUGAGGCAGAGGUUCACCGUCUAGUGCUGGUGGACACAGAGGAUGUGGUGAAGGGAAUCGUCUCCCUCUCUGAUUUGCUUCAGGCACUGGUUUUGACUCCUGCAGGCGUUGAAGCACUUUUCUGUUAACACCAGUGGAGAGCUUCCUCUCCACCAUCAUCCUCACUUCCUAUCCUCUCUUACCAGAAUUUUGUCGCAAAAGAAACCAUGAGCCUUGCAGAUGAAUGCUCGAAGACAGAAAGUGUAAAUAUUUUUGAUGUUGCGAGCACUUUGGGUUUUGAUGUUUCACUAUAAACAUGUCUAAUCUUAUUUUACAAUUUUACUUUUAUAUUUGUGUAAUUUAUUAAAGAAUUAUAAUCACAUAAUCAUCUGAACUGUGCUAGUUCUAUGUCAGAUAAAACUACAGACAUCAAGCAUGCCAUGUAAUAAUGACAACUUUCUGGCAAAAAAUCUCUCUUUUUAUAACAUUUUUGUUAUAAAACUUCUUGACCCCUGAUCCUCACUUUGUAAAUAAACAGAUUAUGUCAUUUAGUCACAUUAAAUCCAAAAUUCACUGUGG